UACGAAGGGGGCUAGCGUUGCUCGGAAUCACUGGGCGUAAAGCGCACGUAGGCGGGUCGUUAAGUCCAGGGGUGAAAUCCUGGAGCUCAAACUCCAGAACUGCCCUUGAUACUGGCGAAUCUCGAGUUCGGGAGAGGUGAGUGGAACUGCGAGUGUAGAGGUGAAAUUCGUAGAUAUUCGCAAGAACACCAGUGGCGAAGGCGGCUCACUGGCCCGAUAACUGACGCUGAGGUGGCGAAAGCGUGGGGAGCAAACAGG
rnacentral:rRNA from 1 species